AUGAAUAGAAAGAGCCUCUUUUUUGUACUUGUCGCAGUGCAGAAGUUAAUGCAUCUCAGUUUGAGGCACAUGCUAGAUGGUCAUCUCGAUGCAAGUCGCGAGUUCUUUACAUUCUGUUGUUGGAUCUGUAGGGUGUAUAUAACAUGUCUAACUAGCUUUAUAGUGAACUAUGAUUUUCAAGUGUUGAGUUUCUACUCUUCUCCUUACAGAUUUUUGUUGAAUUUUUCACAGAUUCUUAACUUUGGAAAUGAAGUGAUGAAGGUGUAUGUUUCAUGCAGAUUUCAUGGAUUUGAUUUGGAUGAAUAA